rnacentral:rRNA from 1 species
AGUGAACGCUGGCGGUAGGCCUAACACAUGCAAGUCGAACGGCAGCACAGUAAGAGCUUGCUCUUACGGGUGGCGAGUGGCGGACGGGUGAGGAAUACAUCGGAAUCUACUUUUUCGUGGGGGAUAACGUAGGGAAACUUACGCUAAUACCGCAUACGACCUACGGGUGAAAGCAGGGGAUCUUCGGACCUUGCGCGAUUGAAUGAGCCGAUGUCGGAUUAGCUAGUUGGCGGGGUAAAGGCCCACCAAGGCGACGAUCCGUAGCUGGUCUGAGAGGAUGAUCAGCCACACUGGAACUGAGACACGGUCCAGACUCCUACGGGGGGCAGCAGUGGGGAAUAUUGGACAAUGGGCGCAAGCCUGAUGCAGCCAUACCGCGUGGGUGAAGAAGGCCUUCGGGUUGUAAAGCCCUUUUGUUGGGAAAGAAAAGCAGCAGGUUAAUACCCCGCUGUUCUGACGGUACCCAAAGAAUAAGCACCGGCUAACUUCGUG